rnacentral:rRNA from 1 species
CCCCAACGCGGCGAGUAGAUGGCGUCUAUUUUAGAGGGGUGCAAUAGAAGCGGUGCUUCCGUCGUCGUCGUGCGCUGGAGGGAGAGAGAGGAAAGGAGAGGGUGUAUAGGGAGGCGGAGGUGGCGGUGCUCGUAGAGGUCGCCCUAUCCUUGACCGAGGCGAGAGUAGUGUACCUCGGUGUGGUUGCAGCAGCAGAGCUCCCCCCUCACCCACCCUCCCCUUCUACCGCCGCCGCCGCCAAAGCUAGACACUACACGGAGCUACGCGCUCCCGCGGCGGCGGUCGCUCACGAGGGGAGCUUAUCCGUUCCUCGCGACGGGAACCGGGUGCGCUACUGCCGGCGCUUGACGCGGAGGUGGGCACAUACGCGCUGGCACGCACGAGAGAGGAUCCAGCGGGGAGGUGAGAAAGAGUCAAAUAGCCUAGGAGGAGCGGGGGAUCGAGAAAUGGACACAAGCAGAACCGGCUUCCACCAGCACCCAGAGCGCGAGCCUGUCAAGUAGGCCGACGAAUACUGGAGGUAGUCUUAGAGGAUGCUCGAACGGACGGCUCUACGGUCGUGACGAACAAACAUAUUUACGAGUUCUUCUGACGAGUCUCCUCCUGUUAAACACAGACACUCCCUACCCCUUUGUCUGUUACGCUCGUGAUGGACAAACAUAUUUACGACUUCCUCUUUUCACAACCCUCUUCCUGUACACACACACACACACACACACACACACACACACACACUCUCUCUCUCUCUCUCUCUCUCUCUCACUCUCUCCACUUCUCGUUCCUCUUGGUGUACAACAGGGAAACAGUAGCUGUGGUAGGGCGGCAAUGUCCGAACAGGGCUACCGGAAAAACAACUAUUGUUGUAAGAACGUUCGAACUAAGGGUAGUAGUUAACUUAUGAGAACCAUUCAUUUCACCUUCUUACCCUACUGCCCCUAGAAUUAUACAUGCAAGUAGUGGUACAGGGAGAGUCUUAAAGGUGAUACGUACCGGACCUACCUAAAAUUGAAAUUCCUACCGAUCUUUCUUCUCCUACUACUCCAGCCCGGCGUACAACACGAUCCUCCUAAAAAUCUUUUGGUUCUUUUCCAAUUCUCUCUUUUCCAUACGAUGAGGGAGGUUAGGUAUAAUGAACGGUCAGUUUGUAUACAUAGAACGUGACUUUAUACAGAUCUAUGUAGGCGAACUCGCUGUUUAUUAUACCUAGCUCCCGUCAUGAUAUAAAGUAACAACUCGAUGAAACUUGAAACAAUAACGAAGAGUACUCUACUAAGUGAUUAAUCGAUAGAAUUUAUGAGGAAGAGAACAAGACAACAUUUCAGAAUGACUUUUAAAAUACGUUAAAGGGAUCUUAAAGGUACCGUUAGAGUCAUCCAAUAGUACACCCUGUAGACGUUAGACCAGAGCAUUAACUAUUAAAUUCGAUCUGAUCUAACUCUAACCACCCAUACACUAGAUUGUAACACCGUCAGACAAUGUACACAUCGAAUGAUCGAACACUAGGGGUUUUACACGCUUUUACUGACCAACUCCAGGUCCGAUUAAGACCACUUACCCAGGAGUGUAAUAAAAAAACGGGCCAGGCUAAUUAGUAACAUCAUCAAUAAUACCUUAGUAGUGUAAGUUGUUAUACUCGUUUUAGAACGUAAUAGAACGAGUCUAAAAAGGGUGACUCGACCUGUUCUGGUUUAUAUGUCAGUGCAGUCAAAGAAUAAAAGGCUUUAAAUUGAGAUAAACCAUCUAUAUACAUCGAGUAGAUAUUCAUGUACAACUAUAAUGCCACUAUAAUUAUGUAACUUAAUAAACCUUUCUUGUCUUACAGUCUCUCAAACUCCGAUAGUAACUACUCUGUAGGACCUCUCAACGUUCAACGAACAGAACAAAGCUUAGUACAAGGACAACAAAAGGGGGACGACUCUCACAUAAUACACCUUUCACAUUAGUAGUACGAGAGACUCCGGUACAUCUUAACGUCGUGACAAAAGAAUUUUUAACUGGAACAUUUAAGAACAAAAGAAUAUUAACUAGUACAUUGGGAAACUAUAUUGAAUA